GACUCCCCCAAAGGGGAGCUAAGGCACAACACGCUGUCCCCAGUCCAACCGGGCUCCUGGAAACUUUCCUACUACCCACCAGGCUGCUUUGCCACGUUCGGUCUUGGUUCCUCCUCUGGGAAAGUAAGACGCUGGUGGAAACCCGAGUGUCCCAAGCUUUCUACAGGCAUGGCUGUGGGCUCCGGACGACCAUGGAGGCACACGCUGCAGCCCCGUCGCCAGCCCUCCCCUGGGGCUGUCCAUUUUCCUGCCACCCACGUGAGAGGGGGUGUAACCCACACCAAGAGCCGAAGCUUUAUUUGACUUGGGAAUCAAACUAGCCCACGACUUCCUUCAGCAGCAGUAGCUCCGACCUGAUAUCUCCUCUUCCUGGCACCUUGAACUCCAAGUUACAUUUAUCCUUUGGGACCUGCCCACUGCUAUGGUCUGUCUAGGUCUCCUGGAUGCCCACUCUGUCACCUGGGGUCCUGGCAUUUCCUCACCACCCCAAGCCCCUGAGUAUAUGUUGGCUUCACCUCCCACCCAGGGGGAGUCAGGGCCCUGGGGCAGGAGAGGAGGCAGAGACAGGUGGGCCCUUUCCAGGUGCAUACAGUCCUAUGUCGGCACCUCUGGGUGUGGCUGUCCCCCGCUGGACUGACAUUGCAUAAGCUUUGGGGAGAACCCUCUGGGCUGAUUGGGAAGCUGAGAUAGAGCCUUGAAGCUUCCUGAGUGCUCUGUAACUGCAAGGGCAUGUCCCUUGGAGUCCACCCUUAUCAUUGGUGUCUCUGUUUUCCCUGUCUCAUCUUGGGUCCCCCCUCUGCUUGGCCUCCUUGUGUCCUCCCCAGCCCUGUGCAUACCGAUCAUUCCCACCUCUCAUACGCCUCUCGGGUCACCUGUGCCCUUCAGCCCUGCACAGGUCCAGGCUUUCAAGGGCCCACGCUGCAGCAGAUUCUCAGGGCAGACCUCUGUCUGCUGUGACUUUGCCGAUGUCUCUCCCCUCUGAAUUGGACAGUAGGGACUGACUGCUUGGCCACAGGCUUGCUGUCACAGGCCCAUGCCUCCUUGCUUCUGUCUCUUGAGGCUGAGACAAUGACUUACCAUAUUUCUGUUCUCUGCCUGUGAUCCCCAGCCACAGCCAUUGCCCGGCAGUGCUCUCUGCAGGGCUUCUCAGUAAUGUGGCCAGGGAUGGGUCCCAGACAAUGGAAGACAGAGGAGGGAGGGCCUCGGUCCUGCAUCAGCUCUGCCCAGAGAGUGGAAGGCAUUUGCCCAAGAUGCAAGCCUCUGUGAGUUUGGCAUGUGAUUGAUGGCCUUCCAAGUCCAACCAUGCAUCGCUUAGUGAUGGGGACAUUCUGAGAAAUGUGUGGUUAGAUAGUCACUGCUGCAUGAGCAUCACAGAGUGCGCUGGUGCAAACCUAGACUGCAGGGCCUGCCACACGCCUUGGCUGUACAGUAGACACUGUUGCUAGUGUCCUCUGUGAUCAGCUUGUCUAGCCUUCAAAAAUCCUUCAUUUGCCCUCACACCAUACUCAGAGACUCGGAAUGGGCAUUCCUAUCAUAUGAUGAAUGACAAUUCUUGCUUCACUCAAACUGUCCAGAGCUAGCAGUAAAUAACCACCAUGGCUGAGUCCAGCCUUCUUUUCCACAUUGCAAACAAACGUUUUGCUUUGGCCAUGAUCAUUGUGUGUGGAGAGGGAUGUGCUCCUGUGUCAUGUCCUCAAUCCUGGUCAGCAGCAGUUUCUCCACAUCAGAUCUGAAUUUCUUGUUAGUCUCGUGGCCUCCAGUGAAGCAGAGCCUUUAGCAGCUUCCAUCACUUGCUUUUGUGCCUCAAGACUGCAGGACAGUGGAAGGGGACAUGCCUGAGUGGCGAGUGCUGACCAGCGCUGAUCUCCCACCUUCGUAGUCUAGUCACUUUGACCUUCCAGGUCCAUCACUUGACCUGGCCUCUUCCUGGCAACACAGCAGUGGAUUUUGUGCACUUGGAAGCUGUGAUGAGCCAAGCAACAAGAGACUAAAUCAAGCAGAGAGAAGAGGACACCAUCAAGAGACAAGAAACGUGAGAUGUAUGACGUGGCCGCUGGCCACUAUCACACACGUGGUCCAUCACCAGGGAAGCAUGGCUGUGUGGCACCUGCCCACGCUCUUGUUACUCUGGGAUUAAAGCACUGGCAGCCAUGCUGGCCUUGGCAAGCCCUCAAGAAUGCUCGCCCUUGCUGUUACCGUCACUGUUUCCUACUUGUGGACCACACAACCAUUCUGGAGGCCACAUGAAGUGUUGCCAUUUUGGAGGUCAGAAGUGGCCAAAUGUUGGCAAUUUCAUAUGACUCAGCACAGUAGUUCUCCCCUCAAAAUUGUUCUGCUUUGUUUAUUAAAUCAAACAGGCUUUUUCU